UACGAAGGGGGCGAGCGUUGUUCGGAUUUACUGGGCGUAAAGGGCGCGCAGGCGGCUCAUUUUGUCAGGCGUGAAAGCCCCGGGCUUAACCUGGGAACUGCGUUUGAUACGGAUGGGCUAGAGUUCGGGAGAGGAGAGUGGAAUUCCCAGUGUAGAGGUGAAAUUCGUAGAUAUUGGGAAGAACACCGGUGGCGAAGGCGGCUCUCGUGGACCGAGACUGACGCUGAGGAGCGAAAGCGUGGGGAGCAAACAGG
rnacentral:rRNA from 1 species